ensembl:lncRNA
AGGAAUUGAGAAACGGCCUCAGUUUGAAGAGUACACCUGCGGAGGACUUCCAACAGGGGGCGCCCAUUAAUGUCAAUGUCAACAAAACAACAAGCAGCGUUGUAUUAUAAGUAUUACCGUAGAUUCCUCCGAACUCUGAUCCCGUCUUUUCCUGCCCUUCAGUAUCCAUCUCUUUAUUCUACUCAAAACAACGGCUCUUUUAAGAGCCACUCUUUUCUGUACUACAUAAACACACAGGCAUAUCACUCACUCACUCACUCACUCACUCACUCACUCACCCAAUCACUGUUUGUCCGUCUGUACGUCUGUCUGUCUGUCUGUCUGUCUGUCUGUCUGUCUGUCUGUCUGUCUGUCUGUCUGUCUGUCUGUCUGUCUGUCUGUCUGUCUGUCUGUCUGUCCGUCUGUCCGUCUGUCCGUCCGUCCGUCCGUCCGUCUGUGUCUCUAACUCCAGAAGCCACUGUCUCCAAUGCUGUUGAAAUGGCUAAUCAACAAGACAGAGGCGGGGCAGAGCAGGCUAUAUUCCUUGCUGAUAUGCUUCUUGCUCGGGAAAAACCGAAAAAUGACGCAAAGGGCAAAGCAGGAUCUAGUAAAUGUGAAGUUGAAUGGGUGGAGAGGGAUUCGGAUGGUCGUCUAAUUCCCAAAAGGUGCAGAAUUGGAGAAACACGGAUGCAAGCCUCAGCUACAGUUGUUUCUCAGGAUGUUCGUGAGGACUCUGCCCCUUUUGAGUCAGCUGGGGAGGAUCAUGCAGUGUCCAGGUGCCCUCAACAGUUACUUGAAAAUGAGAUGCAGAAACUGUUGGAAAUUCUAACAACGGACAUUAAGACAAAGGACCAUCCGUCGACGUCAGAAUCAUGGUCAUUGCGUCAAUCGGCAGCUCAGGAUGAGUGGCGUAAAGCAAGGCCGUAUCAUUUGAACAGUUUGCUGUCAUGCAAUGAAGUUCCCAUAAAAACAUGCUGCAACUGCUCAUCUCAAGCAGUCAUUCGUUGCAGAGACUGCAUGCCCAAUGAGUGGCUCUGCAUUGAUUG